rnacentral:rRNA from 1 species
AGCGAACGCUGGCGGCAGGCCUAACACAUGCAAGUCGAACGAACUCUUCGGAGUUAGUGGCGGACGGGUGAGUAACACGUGGGAACGUGCCUUUUGGUUCGGAAUAACUCAGGGAAACUUGUGCUAAUACCGAAUGUGCCCUUCGGGGGAAAGAUUUAUCGCCAUUAGAGCGGCCCGCGUCUGAUUAGCUAGUUGGUGAGGUAACGGCUCACCAAGGCGACGAUCAGUAGCUGGUCUGAGAGGAUGACCAGCCACACUGGGACUGAGACACGGCCCAGACUCCUACGGGAGGCAGCAGUGGGGAAUCUGGCGCAAUGGGCGAAAGCCUGACGCAGCCAUGCCGCGUGAAUGAUGAAGGUCUUAGGAUUGUAAAAUUCUUUCACCGGGGACGAUAAUGACGGGACCCGGAGAAGAAGCCCCGGCUAACUUCGU